rnacentral:rRNA from 1 species
UGGGGAAUAUUGGACAAUGGGCGAAAGCCUGAUCCAGCCAUGCCGCGUGUGUGAAGAAGGUCUUCGGAUUGUAAAGCACUUUAAGUUGGGAGGAAGGGCAUUAACCUAAUACGUUAGUGUUUUGACGUUACCGACAGAAUAAGCACCGGCUAACUCUGUGCCAGCAGCCGCGGUAAUACAGAGGGUGCAAGCGUUAAUCGGAAUUACUGGGCGUAAAGCGCGCGUAGGUGGUUUGUUAAGUUGGAUGUGAAAUCCCCGGGCUCAACCUGGGAACUGCAUUCAAAACUGACUGACUAGAGUAUGGUAGAGGGUGGUGGAAUUUCCUGUGUAGCGGUGAAAUGCGUAGAUAUAGGAAGGAACACCAGUGGCGAAGGCGACCACCUGGACUAAUACUUACACUGAGGUGCGAAAGCGUGGGGAGCAAACA